GGACCACACUUGGGGAAUCAUUGGUCUGAGAAGCACUUUGAAACCACUGUAAUCAAUGACCAACUCCCCCAUGAUGUUCAGAGUCCAGACAUGCACACAGGUGACAUUGGAGGAACAGCCGGAGCACCUUAGAACCAUCUGCCACAUGAGAGUGAGUUGGUAGCCCACUACGUGAAUCUGUCUCCACAUUGGGAAGAAGGAAAGAACAUUGGAUCUGGAGCAUGAAGACCUGGGUCUUGAAGCUGCGAUUUACAUCCUCUUGGGGCAUUUCUGAACCUCUCCAAGCCUCAGUUUCAAUGUGUGAACUUCAUGAUUCACAUGAAGUUAGUCCUGUUUUCUGACCUACCAGAGCUCCUCCAGCUCCGACUACUUGGGACGGUUGUUAAGACUGAAUUCAUAUGUAUAAAGCAGUUAAAAGAAUUCCUGCCUAACGGUAAGAGCUCUAAAGAUGUUUGAUUUUCUGAUUUGAUGUUAUCAUCAGUGAAGGAAAACAUCUAAUUUGAAAAUUGGAGAAUGAGACAAUGAGACAGAAAAAAAGUAACUGGGGAGAAGACACAGGAAGAUAAAAACCAUACCAAAAACUAUCGUUAAUAUAACCUCAGAGAUAAGAGGAGAUAGAACAUCCUUGAAAUAAGAGCUGGACACUAUCAAAAUGAAGACAAAAAAAAAAUCAGAAAACAAGAGCAUGUUUCUGGAAAUGUAAAAUAUCAGUCUGGGAGUUCCCGUCAUGGCUCAGCAGAAACAAAUCUGACUAGCAUCCAUAAGGACGCAGGUUCAAUCUCUGCCCUCACUCAGUGGGUUAAGGACCAGGCAUUUUGGUGAGUUGUAGGUCGCAGAUGCAGCUCGGAUCCUGAGUUGCUGCGGCUGUGGUGUAGGCCGGCAGCUGUAGCUCGGAUUUGACCCCUAGCCUGGGAACCUUCAUGUGCCAUGGUGUGGCAAAAAAAAAAAAAGAAUAAAAAAUUUCAGUCUGAAGCAUAUGAGAUUGCCAUUUUUAAAGGCUGAGAACCAUCAAAAAGUUGACAAUUUCAUAAGGUUCAUCCUAACACAGAAAUGAAAAACUCAGAUUUCUGAAAAACUCAGAAAUCUCUCAGCUAGUAGAGUGAAAAGGUAAAGAAAUGUAAAAUAGAAAAGAUUUCGAAAGUAUCCUAUAACCAAAUGAGAGGAGUUCCUGAAAGAGCACACGGGCGCGCGCGCACACACACACACACACACACACACACACACACAAUGGAGGGAAGGAAAUCACUAUCGAAGUAAUUAAAGAAACUACCCCAAAAAACAAAGUCCAUGAAUGAAAAAGGGUCCGCUGAGGGACUGGUACAAUGGUGGGAAAAGAAAAGCUCAUAGAAGCUUCUGGAGAGGAAAAGGGGGUGGGAGGAGAAAUACCCUCAUACAAAAGAUCAGGAAUUGAAAUGCAUCGAACUUCUCAAUAGAGACAGUGGAAGCCAGCAGUAUAUCAAACAAAGCCUUUUUUUUUUUUUUUCCGAUUUUUAGGGUUACACCUGAGGCAUCUGGAGGUUCCCAGGCUAGGGGUUUAAUCGGAGCUGUAGCCACCAGCCUACACCACAGCCACAGCAACACCAGAUCUGAGCCACGUCUCCCACCUACACCACAGCUCACGGCAAUGCCAGAUCAUUAACCCACUGAACAAGGCCAGGGUUCGAACCUGCAACCUCACGGUUCCUAGUCAGAUUGGUUUCUUCCAUGCCACGACAGGAACUCCCCCAACGAAGC
rnacentral:lncRNA from 1 species